rnacentral:rRNA from 1 species
CGUCCAGACUCCUACGGGAGGCAGCAGUGGGGAAUAUUGCACAAUGGGGGAAACCCUGAUGCAGCGACGCCGCGUGAGUGAAGAAGUCUCUCGGUAUGUAAAGCUCUAUCAGCAGGGAAGAAAAUGACGGUACCUGACUAAGAAGCCCCGGCUAACUACGUGCCAGCAGCCGCGGUAAUACGUAGGGGGCAAGCGUUAUCCGGAUUCACUGGGUGUAAAGGGAGCGUAGACGGCGGCGCAAGUCUGGAGUGAAAGCCCGGGGCCCAACCCCGGGACUGCUCUGGAAACUGCGGCGCUGGAGUACGGGAGGGGCAGGCGGAAUUCCUGGUGUAGCGGUGAAAUGCGUAGAUAUCAGGAGGAACACCGGCGGCGAAGGCGGCCUGCUGGACCGUGACUGACGUUGAGGCUCGAGAGCGUGGGGAGCAAACAGGAUUAGAUACCCCUGUAG